rnacentral:rRNA from 1 species
AGAGUUUGAUCAUGGCUCAGGAUGAACGCUGGCGGUAUGCCUAACACAUGCAAGUCGAACGAUGUCUUCGGACAUAGUGGCGGACGGGUGAGUAACGCGUGAGAAUCUGCCUCUAGGAUGGGGAUAACGGUUGGAAACGACCGCUAACACCCAAUAUGCCGUAAGGUGAAAAAUUUAUUGCCUGGAGAGGAGCUCGCGUCUGAUUAGCUAGUUGGUGGGGUAAGAGCUCACCAAGGCUUCGAUCAGUAGCUGGUCUGAGAGGAUGAGCAGCCACACUGGGACUGAGACACGGCCCAGACUCCUACGGGAGGCAGCAGUGGGGAAUUUUCCGCAAUGGGCGAAAGCCUGACGGAGCAAUACCGCGUGAGGGAGGAAUGCCUUUGGGUUGUAAACCUCUUUUCUCAGGGAAGAAGAUCUGACGGUACCUGAGGAAUAAGUAUCGGCUAACUCCGUGCCAGCAGCCGCGGUAAUACGGAGGAUGCAAGCGUUAUCCGGAAUCAUUGGGCGUAAAGCGUCCGCAGGUGGUUUCCAAAGUCUGCUGUUAAAGACUGGAGCUCAACUCCGGAACGGCGGUGGAAACUUGGAAACUAGAGUUCGGUAGGGGUAGCAGGAAUUCCCAGUGUAGCGGUGAAAUGCGUAGAUAUUGGGAAGAACAUCGGUGGCGAAGGCGUGCUACUGGACCGUAACUGACACUCAGGGACGAAAGCUAGGGGAGCGAAAGGGAUUAGAUACCCCUGUAGUCCUAGCUGUAAACGAUGGAAACUAGGUGUGGCUUGUAUCGACCCGAGCCGUGCCGUANCUAACGCGUUAAGUUUCCCGCCUGGGGAGUACGCACGCAAGUGUGAAACUCAAAGGAAUUGACGGGGGCC